CGAGGCAUCCUGGAACUUCCGGGGCCACACAGCCCCCAAACCCUACCGCCCCUUUCAGCUCCAUGACAGAUCUGGCAGUUAUGUGGGAGGCCGAUCUGGCCACCCCGCUACGAGCGGCUGCUCGUCCCGCAGAACCCUCUCAGGCACUUCACACUGAUUGUGUGAAGCACCUCACAGUGUCUUUGGAAUAUUUGGGUGAUCUCUCAAACAUCAACUCACAUUAAGAAAAAUCAGCUGGCCUCUUGGACUACCAGCCAGUGAUCUGCCUCACAAAGAAAACAUCUUUGGAUAACUAGUGAUUUGUCUCAUAAUAUCCAAGAAUCUUCUAUAGCCAUUAGAAUCUCAUCAUACAGAUUUUCUUACA